GGGGAAUAUUGGACAAUGGGCGCAAGCCUGAUCCAGCCAUGCCGCGUGGGUGAAGAAGGCCUUCGGGUUGUAAAGCCCUUUUGUUGGGAAAGAAAAGCAGCCGGCCAAUACCCGGUUGUUCUGACGGUACCCAAAGAAUAAGCACCGGCUAACUUCGUGCCAGCAGCCGCGGUAAUACGAAGGGUGCAAGCGUUAAUCGGAAUUACUGGGCGUAAAGCGUGCGCAGGCGGUUUUGUAAGACAGUGGUGAAAUCCCCGGGCUCAACCUGGGAACUGCCAUUGUGACUGCAAGGCUGGAGUGCGGCAGAGGGGGAUGGAAUUCCGCGUGUAGCAGUGAAAUGCGUAGAUAUGCGGAGGAACACCGAUGGCGAAGGCGACUGCCUGGGCCAACACUGACACUGAGGCACGAAAGCGUGGGGAGCAAACA
rnacentral:rRNA from 1 species